GCUGGGCAUGGUGCCACAUGCCUGUAAUCCCAGUGACUCGGAAGGCUGAGGCAGGAGGAUCAUGAGUUCAAAGCCAGCCUCAGCAAAAGCAAGCUGCUAAGCAACUCAGUGAGACUCUGUCUCUA
rnacentral:sRNA from 1 species